rnacentral:rRNA from 1 species
UACGGGGGGGGCAAGCGUUGUUCGGAAUUACUGGGCGUAAAGGGCUCGUAGGCGGCCAACUAAGUCGGACGUGAAAUCCCCAGGCUCAACCUGGGAACUGCGUCUGAUACUGGAUGGCUUGAAUCCGGGAGAGGGAUGCAGAAUUCCAGGUGUAGCGGUGAAAUGCGUAGAGAUCCGGAAGAACACCGGUGGCGAAGGCGGCCUGCUGGGCAGUAGCUGACACUGAGGCGCGACAGCGUGGGGAGCAAACAGG